rnacentral:rRNA from 1 species
GGAAUAUUGCACAAUGGGCGCAAGCCUGAUGCAGCCAUGCCGCGUGUAUGAAGAAGGCCUUCGGGUUGUAAAGUACUUUCAGCGGGGAGGAAGGCGAUGGGGUUAAUAACCCUGUCGAUUGACGUUACCCGCAGAAGAAGCACCGGCUAACUCCGUGCCAGCAGCCGCGGUAAUACGGAGGGUGCAAGCGUUAAUCGGAAUUACUGGGCGUAAAGCGCACGCAGGCGGUCUGUUAAGUCAGAUGUGAAAUCCCCGGGCUUAACCUGGGAACUGCAUUUGAAACUGGCAGGCUUGAGUCUUGUAGAGGGGGGUAGAAUUCCAGGUGUAGCGGUGAAAUGCGUAGAGAUCUGGAGGAAUACCGGUGGCGAAGGCGGCCCCCUGGACAAAGACUGACGCUCAGGUGCGAAAGCGUGGGGAGCAAACA